CUGCUGCCUCCCGUAGGAGUUUGGACCGUGUCUCAGUUCCAAUGUGGGGGACCUUCCUCUCAGAACCCCUAUCCAUCGAAGACUAGGUGGGCCGUUACCCCGCCUACUAUCUAAUGGAACGCAUCCCCAUCGUCUACCGGAAUACCUUUAAUCAUGUGAACAUGCGGACUCAUGAUGCCAUCUUGUAUUAAUCUUCCUUUCAGAAGGCUGUCCAAGAGUAGACGGCAGGUUGGAUACGUGUUACUCACCCGUGCG
rnacentral:rRNA from 1 species